rnacentral:lncRNA from 1 species
AAAACCCUGUGGGAGAAAAACUGAACCUUGAUCGUAGGAGAAAAAGAGUACAACGCACCCUUCACAUUUGAUAGUGACAUGUAUGUAUGUGCUAGACUCCCCUUGAAGUUCGCACCUCCCCCUGAUCUUUACAUCAAUCAUAAGGCUCUUCUUGAUUUUUUACUAAUCACGGAAGUUUCAACAACUUAGCAUGUCAAUGCUCUUUAACAUGUCUUCAAAUGUGGCAUUGGGCAAUGAUUAACUAAAUCAUGCCGUAUUGUCCUCAAAUGAUCUUUUACACUUAGAUCUUGAGGAGAAGGCCGCUUGUGAACUCAAAACAUAAGUUCGUGCUGGAAAUCAGAUUUCCGCGCAGCAUGACCUUCAGUUACUAGAACAGUCGUAACUUCCUUUAGGAAAAAUAUAUGAACGAACCGUAAACGGUUUUGGAAACUAGACUCAUUUAGCUUUCCAACCGUAUAUUACACACGUUCUGGUUCGUCAGGAGCUAUUCACAAAGUCCCGUCGAAGUUGACUGUUUUGCCAAAAUCAGAUUCUCGGACAGAUUCGUCCUACUUUACGAAAAUGGCCAUAACUCACUCAAUAUGAUAGGUAUGAUCAAAUGGUUGGUGUCCCUGGAAAGUAGACACAUAGACCUUUCCAAUGGUACCAAUUUCACUAUUUUCCAGUGAGUGAGAUUUCCUGUAGGUCCCGUGGAAGUUGACCUACAAAACUUGACAGAUUCUGAUUUCGCUUUUGAUGUGUCUUUCUUAUGUAGGGAUAGAAUAAGCCUCAACCUUUCAUACCAUUAAGUAUUGAAAAAGGAGUUACUGCCAUUACAUUGGCGUUGCGUGGGCGCAUAGCUACAUUUAGCUUUACAACUUUUCAUAGCGAAUGAGAUGUCAAGUCUUUCGUAUUGUGUUGAGUACAUUGAUGCGUCAUAUUGUACUUAGAUGGGAACUCCAUCUCUUAACACAUAUUUGUCAUCUUGCUUUAGAAAAACAACAGAUCUCUCUUUAGAGCAAAGACCUUGACUAAUCAUGGGAGUAUAUGUAGGUCUCACUAGUUAUAGAGCGCCUAAGCCGAUUGAUGGAAAAUCAUCAUCAAUACAAUCAUCGAGUGCCUUAUCGAGAUCGUGUCUUCCCAAGAUCUUUUUCUUCGGAUGUUGAUACAUAUUGGCAUCUCUUGAUCCAUCAAGAAUCCAUGUAAAUCCGGAACGAACAAGCAAAGACAUAAUUCACCAUAUCCCUUCCAAAUCCCUUCCAAAUCAAGUAGAGUCCAUGUGCGUUUCAAUACAUUUAGGCUGUGUUCGGUAACGUUUUGCAGAAUUGUUUUUAAAAAUCAGUUUUGUAAAAUAAAAACAGAAAAUCAAAUUCUGUAUUUUCUAAAUUUGAGAAUGUGUUCGGUGGUAAAUUUGUAAAACAGUUUUCUAAAAAUGAAAAAUGAAAAAUGCGUCCGGUAGAGAAAUUAUAAAUAUGAAAAAUAAUAACAGAAAUUGAAAUAAAUAUCCAUUAAGAAAUUCGCUCAUGUUCUAGGAUAUUCCAUAUCUUUCUAGAUAUUCUUUAUGUGUGCCUUUGCCUUAUGCCAAUAGGAUAUGUAGUUAGACUAGAUCUAUGUAUUCAUAUCCUUACCAUACUGGUAAUGUGUAAUUCCCUAUAUAAAGGGCUCCUAUCAAUGAAUGAGAUACACAUCUUUCACGAUUCUCUAUUCUCAAUUUACUUUCACUUCAUCAUGUUAUCAGCCCUUUGCUCAAACCCUUGAGCUAAUAGUUUUUCCCAAACCCUAAAACCAAAAGCCGAAAACCUUCGGCCCUUCCUCGGCCGCCGCCGCCGCCGCUGCUGCCGUCGCCGCCGUUGCCCACGACUGCCGCUCCCCGGCCGUCCGCUCU